rnacentral:lncRNA from 1 species
GGGAUCUAUGAGCUGACACCUAAUGAUAUGGUUUAACAAGUAAAAUGUAGGUUGGUGAUAUUUUGAGAUAUUAAUGCAUGCUUAUUCCCUCCUGUAUGUUCUUCUUCUUCUCUUCCCAUAUUAGCGGGUAGCACGGACAGGACAGAAAAGAAACACCUUACAAGAAGGCUGGCUGCUACAGUAAUAUUUAUAAUGACUCUUAUUAGUAGACUCUAAAUCCUUAGGAGGAGGGGCUUGCAGCAUCUCGACAGAAACAGGAAAGGAAAGGCUUUGGUUGCCUCUGAGGAGACUUCCCAGGCUGGACCUGAGCUGACACAGCUGCGUGUGUUCCUGUCUCCCCAUCCGACCCUCAGCUCCGUGAGAGCACUGACUUGGUCUUUUUUAUCCUCUACUCUGACCCCAACAUCUAGAAUAGUGCCUGAGGCAAAGCUGACAAUAAAUAUAUGUUAAAUGAAUUAAUAUAUGAGGAGGAGGCAAGAGAGAGAAAAAAGGACAUUGAGAGAGGACAGACUUCAGAGCCUUGGAGAAGGAGCCAAGAAGCUGCCCUGCAGGACAAGCUGGCAGGAAUGUAAGCUUCAUGACGGCCGGGAAUUUGGUCUCACCGCUGUCACUUCUAGAACUGCACCGUCCAGUAUUGUAGCUACUAGCCACGUGUGGGUAGUGAGAAGCUGAAAAAUGACUGUCUCAAAUCAAAAUACACCAUAAGUGUAAAACACACAUGGAAUUUUAAGGACUUAGUAUUAAAAGAAAAAUGUAAAAUAACUCACUGAUAAUUUAUUACACUGGUUAUAUGUUAAAAUGAUAUUUGGUACAUAUUGGGUUAUAUAAAAUAUAUUAUUUAAAUGUAUUUCUCUUUUUUUAUAAACAAAUUGUGGUCUGCAAUGUGUGUGUUUAUGUGUGUGUGCCCGUGUGUGUGUGUGUGUGUGUGUAUCAGAUAGCACUGAUCUAAAAGAAAUGUCAGUGAACUUUUUCUGUAAAAGAUCAAAUAGUAAAUAUCUUAGGCUU